AUGGUGUGUGUGGAUAGAAGCGAUAGCUUUGUUCAUUCAUUAGAAAGGAUCAUAACCAGACUCAAAAGUUGGAAGAAAAAAUUUCUGUCCAUGGAUGGAAAGAAAAUCUUACUGAAAGCGGUCAUACAAUCAAUUCAUGUGUUUGCGAUGUCGGUUUUUAAUAUCCCAAAGAAACUAUGUAAAGAGAUGACACAUGCGAUGGCUGAGUUUUGGUGGGGUGACUCAGAGAACCAUAAGCGUAUGCACGGGAUAGCAUGGUGGAGGAUGUCUAUUCCUAAAAGGGAUGGAGGUAUGGGAUUUCGAGAUCCGCACUUUAAUUUGGCAAUGCUUACAAAACAGUAUUGGCUGCUCAUCUCAAAUUCUGAUUCCCUUUGUCUUCAAGUUAUGAAAGCAAAAUAUUUUCCUGACUACUCCUUAAUCAGAGCUGGUCCAAAGAAGGGGUCCUCCCCACCGGCAGCCAGAGCAGCACCGGCAAGCCAGAUCUGGCCGCCUGCCAGAUCCAAAUUCCCCCAUCUCAGGCAGCCAAAGGGCAGCAACCAGCAGGCAGCUACCACGCAGACGAGAGCACCUCGCCCACGAGCAGGGGCAGGAGGAUCGCCACCCCUCCGCACCCGUGCCGGCCGGAUCCAAAAGCGCGAGACCGCACCGGGAGCCGUUGUCGUCGCCGUACAUGGGGCGUCCGCGGAGAAGCCAACCACCGGGACGCCACAGCCGUAG
rnacentral:rRNA from 1 species